AUUGAACGCUGGCGGCAUGCUUUACACAUGCAAGUCGAACGGUAACAGGCCUUCGGGUGCUGACGAGUGGCGAACGGGUGAGUAAUGCAUCGGAACGUGCCCAGAGGUGGGGGAUAACGCAGCGAAAGCUGUGCUAAUACCGCAUAUUAUCUGAGGAUGAAAGCGGGGGACUAAGCAGCAAUGUUUGGCCUCGCGCCUUUGGAGCGGCCGAUGUCAGAUUAGGUAGUUGGUGGGGUAAAGGCCUACCAAGCCUACGAUCUGUAGCUGGUCUGAGAGGAUGAUCAGCCACACUGGGACUGAGACACGGCCCAGACUCCUACGGGAGGCAGCAGUGGGGAAUCUUGGACAAUGGGCGAAAGCCUGAUCCAGCAAUGCCGCGUGAGUGAUGAAGGCCUUAGGGUUGUUAAAGGCUCUUUUACCAGGGAUGAUAAUGACAGUACCUGGAGAAUAAGCUCCGGCUAACUCCGUGCCA
rnacentral:rRNA from 1 species